UUGUCUCAAUUCUAUUCAUGAUUUAGAGACAUAGUCAAAAAUUGUACUACCUUCCUCUCAUCUUCACUAUGAAUUCGUGCAUAAGUUGAACCAUCAUCAAGUACCUUUUUUCCAUUUGAGUUGCAAUAAUAUAUGGUUGUCUCAAAAUAAGAGGAUAAGAUGUUGUAUCUUGAACAAAAAAAAAUUACUCUAUUGCAACAUCACUAAUCUGAAUUUUCACAUCUGGGCAAGCACCAUAUAAUUCUCCUCGUGUAUUAUUGGCUAUCCAUAUUCUCCAUCCAUGCUCCAUAUCAAUUAGCCAUCUUCAUUCCAUAUAAAGAUCUUAAGACAUAAAGUUUACCUCUGAACCAUAGUCAAUCAAAGCAACAACAUGCUCGUCCAUAUCUCCAA
rnacentral:lncRNA from 1 species